UUGGUUGGAGGUUUAGCCUGAAUCCUGGACCGUUUAACAUUAAAGAGCAUGUGAUCAUCACCAUCUUUGCUAACUGUGGGGUGUCUUUUGGUGGGGGUGAUGCCUACUCCAUUGGUGCCAUAACUGUUAUGAAAGCUUAUUAUAAGCAAAGCUUGAAUUUUCUUUGUGGGCUACUUAUAGUCUUGACUACUCAGGUUAUUUUUAAAAAAAUUAACUCUAAUUAUUUGCAACUUUGAUUUAUUAUUGUUAUUUUUUUUUUCGGUGGGAAAAAUAAUGUGACUUUUGGUGGUGUAUAAAUAUAUAUACACAGAUAUUGGGAUAUGGAUGGGCUGGGAUGCUGAGGAGGUACCUGGUUGAUCCUGUGGAGAUGUGGUGGCCUUCAAAUCUUGCUCAGGUUUCUCUAUUCAGGUCUGUGUGCCUUUCACAUUUUCUUUCUGUUUGGGUAAUUUUCUAAAUUAUUAUUUCUGUUUGGUUCACGGGAAAAUGUUAGAAAGGAAAGCAAGAAAGAGAUUGAACUUUUGGAACAUUAGAUUUUCC
rnacentral:lncRNA from 1 species